UAAAAGCAUCCACUGCACACAGAUGGAAGCACAGAGGGAAUCUACAGCAGCUGGCCUGAGCUACAGCAUCACACACAGCUGGAAUCCUCACCGAGAGACGCAGCUCAGCCAUGAGUGAGAGGAAAACACCCGGAGCAAUGACUGGAAACACCAAGCCAUCUGCUGGCCACGCAACGCAGGGCCAGCAAAAGGCUCCGUCUAAACACGGAAAGAACAACGUCCCCCAGGACUUUGACAUCGACAUGGACGACCCCGAGACGCAGAGGGCCGCCGUGGCUAUCCAGUGUCAGUUCAGAAAAUUCCAGAAAAAGAAGCAGGAUGUGAAGUCGUAGAGCAAACGUCGUCAGACUCGUCGCUCUCCUGAUAUGGUCUCGGUUUUGCAUGUCGAUCAAACUGCUGCACUGUCCAGAGCUGCGAGGCGAGAAGGCUGAGAUGGGGGAUGAGGGGGUC